UGAAAGGAAUCAUGAACGUGA
rnacentral:miRNA from 1 species